ACAGGCGUCAAGUGGCCACAAGAACAUCCCGAUCCUGCAGUGCCACGGCGAGGUGGACAGCAUGAUCCCAGUGCAAUUUGGCGCCAUGACGGCAGAAAAACUCCGAUCCAUAGUCAACCCUCAGUUGAUCACCUUCAAAACCUACCCAGGGCUCGCUCACAGCUCCUGUGCUCAGGAGAUGGCAGCUGUAAAGGAAUUUAUCGAGAAGUAUUUGCCCCGAAUCUGACCUCACCUCAUUCCCACUGUGACCUCCCCCUCCUCCUCCCCCCUCUGAGACACUGACCUCUCACCCCAGAUCUGCCAUUCUCCCACAGGAAACAGCCAUGAGCACCCUCUCUUCCACACACAUCGACAAGAUAACAAACGCGCGCAUAAAAAAAAAUACGCACAUUUAAAAAAUAAUGAUUCGAUCCACGCCGCUAAACUAAACAUACGCUUCUACAUGCUGCCCAACUCACCAACACUCGCACUGAAAACUUGUCGAACACACUAAUUGGAUAAUAACAUAACCAAGUGCUCACACUCACAAGUCUUAGCCUUUUCGGAGGGAGAAACACUGACUCACACAAUACAUUCCCUUUGGUUUUAUUUAAACAUCCUCUGUCUGUCGCCUCCGCACAACCUCAGUCCUUCUCCACUUUUACCUCAUUUUGCUUAAUCGUGUUAAUUUUUUCCCCAGCUGUCACAUCCUCCAUUGCUGUUACUGCCCACGCCUUUCUCUCUUACAUUACCGUGUCAGUUUGUGAGAGAUAAACAGGUUAACAUCUACCUGGUUAUUGUCAUCAAAGUGCAGUCAGACCUGAUUUCACUUCCCAUUCAUUACCAUGUGGAACAGGCCGAGACACAUUUUGCUUCUUGUCACGAACUGACCUGCCUCCUUUCAGUUCAGAGUUAAAUCUGAUCGAACUUUCACACGUUGAAAUCUGGAGGCUCGCCCACAUCCAGGCAGUUUUGAGAGUAAAAGGUGUGACAGACUUCUCAUUCAGGAAAUAUCGGUUGUUUAUAAUCUUCCUUUUUAUAACUGCACAGUGAACUAAUGGACGCUGCUUUGGCUGCGGUUUAAUAAAACGCUGUGUAAUUUUACAACUUUAUAGCCAGGCUAGCUCCCGCGAACACGUGAGCCAGGUGAGAUUGGGCCUGGCUGCAGCUCCACUCCAGUGUUGCAGUCCCACAGAGUCGGACUCGGGUGCAGUGAGCGCUGGUUUUUAGAGGUAGAGCAGCUGAUUUCCCACCUAACCCCCAUCCAUCCCACCUCCCACCUCCCACCAACCACAUGACAGAGCACUGCAGCCUGUCCGGGUCUUGCAUCUUUAACUUUGACCACUUGACUAUGAACGCCCCCUUUUUUUAUUAAAGUACUAACAUCCAUGGGGGGGGGGUUUCUUCUUCUUUUUUUUAAUGAGUGUGAUAAAAUAUCUUGAAUUAUAUGAAUAAAAUUCCAACUGAAAUAAAAGAAAACUAAUCAAUCGAUGCUUUUGCCACCCGGUGCUGUUUAUUUCACACCUGCAUGUUAGCGAUCUUUUCCUGCUCUGAUUAUGUGAUUCUUUAUGUUCAAUUACCUCACUUGACUUCCUUUUUUGUUUGUUUUUGUUUUUUUAAAUAAGAUUGUAGGCUUAAAGGGGAAUGACUGACCAGUAUGAGUUGCAUGAAAUAAUGCAUCACUGCAGAAUGGUUGCAGGCCCGCACAGACUGCACACCAUGAGUCGCUUCACUGUUCCUCCCACCGACCUUUCCUCUUUUAGAAAAAACAUUUUCCCCUCAUUCAAGUGUUCCUGUUUCAGCAUCCGCCGCCACCCAUGAACAGCCUCCUCUCUCCAUUAGUCCCAGUUGUUCUUGUCUUCUUCCACGACAAACAAAGCAGUCCCGAGUUUAAAACUGGUGUAGAACAUUUAUUGAGUAUUCACUUCCCAGCUCCCUCCUUUGGCAACAUACUGUAACCCACUAAUAGAACAUAAAAGGUCAGAUUUAAAGUUAAACCCAACUCUAUUAUAGUUCACGUAUUAAAACAAACAAAUGGCUAUACACAGGGAGAGCUUUGGCAAGAAGCUGUUCCAAUGUAACUGAAGGGUGAUUUUACAAAUUUAAAAUAAAAAGUUAAUCUUGAACAACUUGUAAUCCUUGGACAUAAGAGUGUAACUCUGAGGAGUCGUGUGUGCUUAACACACACACAUAUAUAUAUAUAUAUAUAUAUGUGUGUGUGUACAUAUAUCAGGUGUUCUGCAUUUUCCUUUGUGAAUGUUAAUUUUGCUCUCCUCAUGAUUUAUCUGUUCUAUAUUCCUGUUUUCGAACCUGAUUUAAGAAAAAAAAAGGGCAAAGGAGGAAAGACAUCUGUUUUGAUUGUUCACUAAUCAAUGAAUGUCUCCUUUAUCUCUGAGUCCUUAUAUGUUUUCCCAUCACUCUAAAAUCUCUGAUGCAGCCCAUUUGCUUCUCUUUAUUUAGUCUUUUUUUGUCCUCUUUGAUACCUUCAAAAAUUAUUUUUUAAUUAUUUCAACAUUUCCCCCGAUGUGACGAUGUCACAUCGUCUCCUGGGUUGUUUGUUGUUGUCAGUUAAACUUUCUACUUGUGUUUUGUUUUGUUUAUUGGACUUAUGUUUUGUUGUGUUUUGUCACCGUUGUCAUCUUAUCCUUUUUUUUUGUGUCUGUUUAUAAUGAUGAACAUUAAGAAAACAUGUUGAGGUGAGACUGGUGGUCUCGCCGCUGUUUUUGUUUCCAAAACACCUGUAUGCGGAAUAAAUGACCAAAAAAAAGUA